UACGGGGGGAGCAAGCGUUGUUCGGAUUUACUGGGCGUAAAGGGCGCGUAGGCGGUCAGCACAAGUCAGUUGUGAAAUCUCCGGGCUUAACUCGGAAAGGUCAACUGAUACUGUGCGACUAGAGUGCAGAAGGGGCAACUGGAAUUUACGGUGUAGCGGUGAAAUGCGUAGAUAUCGUAAGGAAGACCAGUGGCGAAGGCGGGUCUCUGGACAGUUCCUGACGCUAAGGCACGAAGGCCAGGGGAGCAAACGGG
rnacentral:rRNA from 1 species